UAAAGUGGCGCACGGGUGAGUAACACGUAGGUAAUGUGCCUUUGGGUGGGGAAUAACUUAGGGAAACUUAAGCUAAUACCGCAUAAUGCGAUAACUUCUUCGGAAGAUUUUGUUAAAGAUUUAUCGCCUGAAGAGCAGCCUGCGGCAGAUUAGCUAGUUGGUAAGGUAACGGCUUACCAAGGCUACGAUCUGUAUCCGACCUGAAAGGGUGGUCGGACACACUGACACUGAAUAACGGGUCAG
rnacentral:rRNA from 1 species